rnacentral:rRNA from 1 species
UACAGAGGUCCUGAGCGUUGUUCGGAUUCAUUGGGCGUAAAGGGUGCGUAGGCGGUUUCCUAAGUUUGAUGUGAAAUCCCGGGGCUUAACCCUGGAAUUGCAUUGAAUACUGGGAGACUAGAGUACUGGAGAGGAAACUGGAAUUUACGGUGUAGCAGUGAAAUGCGUAGAGAUCGUAAGGAAGACCAGUGGCGAAGGCGAGUUUCUGGACAGUUACUGACGCUGAGGCACGAAGGCCAGGGGAGCAAACGGG